rnacentral:lncRNA from 1 species
GAAUGGAGCGGCAGAAGGAGUCACCAGAAGAAACAGAAAAGGCCAGCGACCAAACACCCACGGAGAAAGUGCUAGUGCCUCGGACUGCAGUAGGGUUAACCUCCUGGGUCCCAAUCCAGAGCGUCGGGAGGGCUUGGCUCUUUCAGCAGGCACUGGGAAGAUUUCCAACUAGCCCUCUCCCCGCGGUGGCCCUGAGGCCCUCACGGUACGGACACAAGGAUUUGUUCCAGACAUCCAUGAACAAACCAGAACGAAGCCCUUUCCCGCCAAACCACUAGGGCUUGGAAAUACACAGAAUACACAGUGCCGGCCCAAACUCUGGGAGCGGGAACCCGGGAGAAGACUUGAGCGGUAAGAGAUCUAGAGCAUUAGAAGGAGGGAGG